AUUGAACGCUGGCGGCAGGCCUAACACAUACAAGUCGAGCGGAUGAAGGGAGCUUGCUCCUGGAUUCAGCGGCGGACGGGUGAGUAAUGCCUAGGAAUCUGCCUGGUAGUGGGGGAUAACGUCCGGAAACGGGCGCUAAUACCGCAUACGUCCUGAGGGAGAAAGUGGGGGAUCUUCGGACCUCACGCUAUCAGAUGAGCCUAGGUCGGAUUAGCUAGUUGGUGGGGUAAAGGCCUACCAAGGCGACGAUCCGUAACUGGUCUGAGAGGAUGACCAGUCACACUGGAACUGAGACACGGUCCAGACUCCUACGGGAGGCAGCAGUGGGGAAUAUUGGACAAUGGGCGAAAGCCUGAUCCAGCCAUGCCGCGUGUGUGAAGAAGGUCUUCGGAUUGUAAAGCACUUUAAGUUGGGAGGAAGGGCAGUAAGUUAAUACCUUGCUGUUUUGACGUUACCAACAGAAUAAGCACCGGCUAACUUCGUG
rnacentral:rRNA from 1 species